rnacentral:rRNA from 1 species
CAAUAGCGUAUAUUAAAGUUGUUGCAGUUAAAAAGCUCGUAGUUGGAUUUGUGGCGUACGGUGUGUUCCGGGCACUUGUUGUCUGAGUAACCUGCUGUUGCCAUCCUUGGGUGGAACCUGUGUGGCAUUAGGUUGUCGUGCAGGGGAUGCCCAUCAUUUACUGUGAAAAAAUUAGAGUGUUCAAAGCAGGCUUAUGCCGUUGAAUAUAUUAGCAUGGAAUAAUGAGAUAGGACUUUUUUGCUAUUUUGUUGGUUUGCGCAAAGAGGUAAUGAUUAAUAGGGACAGUUGGGGGUAUUCGUAUUCCAUUGUCAGAGGUGAAAUACUUGGAUUUUUGGAAGACGAACUACUGCGAAAGCAUUUACCAAGGAUGUUUUCAUUAA